GAGACUCUGUGCGCGUGCAUAUCAAUAAGCGGAGGAAAAGAAACUAACUAGGAUUCCCUCAGUAACGGCGAGUGAAGCGGGAAGAGCUCAAAUUUGAAAUCUUCAAGGUUUCCCUUGACGAAUUGUAGUUUAAAGAAGUGUUUUCUGUUGGAGUUUCGGUAAAAGUUCUUUGGAAUAGGACAUCAUAGAGGGUGAGAAUCCCGUAUUUGUACAUAUCUCCUAACUUUGUGAUACACUUUCAACGAGUCGGAUUGUUUGGGAAUGCAGUCCAAAAUGGGUGGUAAAUUUCAUCUAAAGCUAAAUAUUGGCGAGAGACCGAUAGCGAACAAGUACCGUGAGGGAAAGAUGAAAAGAACUUUGAAAAGAGAGUUAAACAGUACGUGAAAUUGUCAAAAGGGAAGCGUUUGACACCAGUGUUGUUUUCUCGAAAAUCAAUUAGAAAUGGUGGGAUUCUGUGUUGUAUUGACUUUAUCAGCUUUCUGCACUCUUUUCCUAUCUUUUUUAAUGCACUUUUCGUUUAACAAGUCAACAUCAAUUUCUUUUGUUGUAAAAGAGUCAUUGGAAGGUGGCUUUCUUUUCGGAGAAAGUGUUUAUAGCCUUUGACUUCUGCAAUCGGAGAGAUUGAGGUCUGCAGCGUAGAUCCUUCGGGGUUAGAUGCAUUUGUGCUAAGUUAUAGCCUUUCAUAGACAACUUGUUGACUAUGAUCAGUCAUGUAGCUUACUCGCUUAUGUCUAUUUUACCUACGCUUAGGAUGUUGAAGAUGUAGCACAUCAU
rnacentral:rRNA from 1 species